CCUACGGGGGGCUGCAGUAGGGAAUAUUGGACAAUGGGGGAAACCCUGAUCCAGCGAUGCCGCGUGGAUGAUGAAGGCCUUCGGGUCGUAAAGUCCUUUUCUGAGGGAAGAACUGUCUGGCGAGGAAAUGCGCUGGAUUUGACGGUACCUCAGGAAUAAGCAACGGCUAACUCCGUGCCAGCAGCCGCGGUAAUACGGAGGUUGCAAGCGUUGUUCGGAAUAACUGGGCGUAAAGGGAGCGCAGGCGGCUUGGUAAGUCUAAAGUGAAAUUCCAGGGCUCAACCCUGGACGUGCUUUGGAUACUGCCUGGCUUGAGUACGUGAGAGGAGAUUGGAAUUCCAGGUGUAGCGGUGAAAUGCGUAGAUAUCUGGAGGAACACCGGUGGCGAAAGCGGAUCUCUGGCACGUUACUGACGCUGAGGCUCGAAAGCGUGGGGAGCAAACGGGAUUAGAUACCCCUGUAGUC
rnacentral:rRNA from 1 species